rnacentral:rRNA from 1 species
GACGAACGCUGGCGGCGUGCCUAAUACAUGCAAGUCGAACGGUCCAAGGUCGAAGGUUUACCUUUGAUGAUUGGAUAGUGGCGAACGGGUGAGUAACACGUAGGUAACCUGCCUGUAAGACUGGGAUAACUGGCGGAAACGUCAGCUAAAACCGGAUAGGUCAACAGAUCACUUGAUGUGUUGAAGAAAGGGGGUUCGGUUUCGAACUCACACUUACAGAUGGGCCUGCGGCGCAUUAGCUAGUUGGUGAGGUAAGAGCUCACCAAGGCGACGAUGCGUAGCCGACCUGAGAGGGUGAACGGCCACACUGGGACUGAGACACGGCCCAGACUCCUACGGGAGGCAGCAGUAGGGAAUCUUCCGCAAUGGACGAAAGUCUGACGGAGCAACGCCGCGUGAGUGAGGAAGGUUUUCGGAUCGUAAAGCUCUGUUGCCAGGGAAGAACAGGCGGUUGUUAACUGCAGCCGCUGUGACGGUACCUGAGAAGAAAGCCCCGGCUAACUACGUGCCAGCAGCCGCAGUAAGA